GCCUAUUUCUCAAACCUGGUUUGAGAGCUAUCAACCAAUCAGGAUGCAGCACUGGGUGGAGAUAAUUUAUGCUCGAUUGAUUUUAUCCAAAUAAUUCACCGCCAAAACAAUCUGCGAUAGUAUCUGGUCAGCCCGAUUUUAGUGCAAUUGAAAUCUCUCAAUCUCUCGAUCCUUUCCUUAAAAUCUAAAGAUGGUAGAAAUGCAGCUGAUUCAGCAUAAUGAGCUGGUGUACCUGGAGGAGGAGCUGGAGCAAUAUAUAGCAGCACAACCGGGCAGAGGCCUCUGAGUCUGAGAUUGGGAAAACCCGCUUGAUGAUGAGCCUUUUGUUUUAGAUUGAGGUAAUUCGAUCUAAAGGAUGCACCGUGAGGAGGCGGCAUGCCGUGUCAUAUUCAUCUGUUUGCCGAAUGGAGAGUAGUGAGGGAUGUUUCCGAAGCUGUUGUCAGAAGAAAGGGACAAGUCAUGAAGUUUCCUACAAGUUACAACAAGGCAAAUAGUGACUACUAUUCAGAAGCAGUUUUUCCAGUACUGCAGAUUUCCAGGAGUUGCUGUUGAUGGGACACA